UCUUAGCUUGCUAAGGCCGAUGGCGACCGGCGCACGGGUGAGUAACACGUAUCCAACCUGCCGUCUACUCUUGGACAGCCUUCUGAAAGGAAGAUUAAUACAAGAUGGCAUCAUGAGUCCGCAUGUUCACAUGAUUAAAGGUAUUCCGGUAGACGAUGGGGAUGCGUUCCAUUAGAUAGUAGGCGGGGUAACGGCCCACCUAGUCUUCGAUGGAUAGGGGUUCUGAGAGGGUGAACGGCCACAUUGGGACUGAGACACGGCCCAAACUCC
rnacentral:rRNA from 1 species